GUGACAGAGAGAGGGAAGGAAGGGGUGACUAGUGACAGAGUGAGGGAGGGUGUGACUAGUGACAGAGAGAGGGAGGGUGUGACUAGUGACAGUCACCCCCUCCCUCACUCUGUCACUAGUCACCCCCUCCCUCACUCUGUCACUAGUCACCCCUUCCUUCCCUCACUCUGCCACUAGUCACCCCUUCCCUCACUCUGCCACUAGUCAC